GAUGAACGCUGGCGGCGUGCCUAAUACAUGCAAGUCGAGCGGUAAGGCUCCUGCAGAUUGUUUGAUUAUCAAGGAUAAGGGAAGGCUCCCGAAUCUUAUCGAAUAAUGUGCUGGAGUACACGAGCGGCGGACGGCUGAGUAACACGUAGGAACGUACCCCAAACUGAGGGAUAAGCACCAGAAAUGGUGUCUAAUACCGCAUGUGAUCUUCGGAUUAAAGCNCCGGCGGUUUGGGAACGGCCUGCGCAUGAUUAGCUUGUUGGUGAGGUAAUAGCUCACCAAGGCGACGAUCAUUAGCUGGUCUGAGAGGAUGACCAGCCAGACUGGGACUGAGAACGGCCCAGACUCCUACGGGAGGCAGCAGUAGGGAAUUUUCCACAAUGGACGCAAGUCUGAUGGAGCAACGCCGCGUGCAGGAUGAAUGUCUUCGGAUUGUAAACUGUCUUUUCUCUGUGACGAAUAUGACGGUAGC
rnacentral:rRNA from 1 species